CCUACGGGUGGCAGCAGUAGGGAAUAUUGCUCAAUGGGGGAAACCCUGAAGCAGCAACGCCGCGUGGAGGAUGAAGGUUUUCGGAUUGUAAACUCCUUUUGUUAGAGAAGAAAAUGACGGUAUCUAACGAAUAAGCACCGGCUAACUCAGUGCCAGCAGCCGCGGUAAUACGGAGGGUGCAAGCGUUACUCGGAAUCACUGGGCGUAAAGAGCGCGUAGGCGGGAUAGCAAGUCAGAUGUGAAAUCCUAUGGCUUAACCAUAGAACUGCAUUUGAAACUGUUAUUCUAGAGUAUGGGAGAGGUAGGUGGAAUGCUUGGUGUAGGGGUUAAAUCCGUAGAGAUCAAGAGGAAUACUCAUUGCGAAGGCGACCUGCUGGAACAUAACUGACGCUGAUGCGCGAAAGCGUGGGGAGCAAACAGGAUUAGAUACCCCUGUAGUC
rnacentral:rRNA from 1 species